rnacentral:rRNA from 1 species
ACACUCCUACGGGAGGCAGCAGUGGGGAAUAUCGCACAAUGGGCGCAAGCCUGAUGCAGCCAUGCCGCGUGUAUGAAGAAGGCCUUCGGGUUGUAAAGUACUUUCAGCGGGGAGGAAGGCGAUAAGGUUAAUAACCUUGUCGAUUGACGUUACCCGCAGAAGAAGCACCGGCUAACUCCGUGCCAGCAGCCGCGGUAAUACGGAGGGUGCAAGCGUUAAUCGGAAUUACUGGGCGUAAAGCGCACGCAGGCGGUCUGUCAAGUCGGAUGUGAAAUCCCCGGGCUCAACCUGGGAACUGCAUUCGAAACUGGCAGGCUAGAGUCUUGUAGAGGGGGGUAGAAUUCCAGGUGUAGCGGUGAAAUGCGUAGAGAUCUGGAGGAAUACCGGUGGCGAAGGCGGCCCCCUGGACAAAGACUGACGCUCAGGUGCGAAAGCGUGGGGAGCAAACAGGAUUAGAAACCCCUGUAGUCCCAUGAU